ACAUAUUUAAAGUCGUGGUUGAGACCAGGAGCAUCACUUCCAUGCUUGCUGUAGAUCUUUUUGCGACAUCUCAUCAACGAACAUGAAGCUGUUUCUCCUGAUGGUUCUUGCCACUCUGUUGACUGCAGAAUGUGUUGUUGCAGAAAGGCAAAAAAUCAAGUUGGCCCCAACCAUCUAUGCAAGAGCACGGUUCACAAGAUCCAUACCAGAUCGUCGUGGUUGGUCUGGUUUCGUAGGCAGUCUGAAAAGGCAGAAGUGUAUCACGUUCUGGCACGGAAUGGUGAGAUGGAA